rnacentral:rRNA from 1 species
UACGGGGGGAGCAAGCGUUGUUCGGAUUUACUGGGCGUAAAGGGCGCGUAGGCGGCGCAACAAGUCACUUGUGAAAUCUCCGGGCUUAACCCGGAGCGGCCAAGUGAUACUGUCGUGCUAAAGUGCGGAAGGGGCUACUGGAAUUCUCGGUGUAGCGGUGAAAUGCGUAGAUAUCGAGAGGAACACCUGCGGCGAAGGCGGGUAGCUGGGCCGACACUGACGCUGAUGCGCGAAAGCCAGGGGAGCGAACGGG